CUACCAUGGCAGUUACGGGUAACGGAGAAUUAGGGUUCGAUUCCGGAGAGGGAGCCUGAGAAACGGCUACCACAUCUAAGGAAGGCAGCAGGCGCGUAAAUUACCCAAUCCUGACUCAGGGAGGUAGUGACAAGAAAUAUAAACCCGGGGAAUCCUAUUCUUACGGGAUUUAAAUGAGAACAAUUUAAAUCACUUAGCGAGGAACAAUUGGAGGGCAAGUCUGGUGCCAGCAGCCGCGGUAAUUCCAGCUCCAAUAGCAUAUAUUAAAGUUGUUGCAGUUAAAAAGCUCGUAGUUGAAUUUCUGGUCAUUUUUAGUCUUGGCUUCGGUCGGAUUAAGGUUGGCCAUCCGUCUGCAAGCUGCCCUCGGCCUUCACUGGUUCGGAGUAGUGAGCUGACAUUUUACUUUGAAAAAAUUAGAGUGUUUCAGGCAGGCUUUUGCCCGAAUACAUUAGCAUGGAAUAAUGGAAUUGGACUCUGGUCCAUUUGGUUGGUUAUUGGAUCUGAGUAAUGGUUAAUAGGGACAGUUGGGGGCAUUAGUAUUUAAUUGUCAGAGGUGAAAUUCUUGGAUUUAUUAAAGACUAACUUAUGCGAAAGCAUUUGCCAAGGAUGUUUUCAUUAAUCAA
rnacentral:rRNA from 1 species